rnacentral:rRNA from 1 species
GGGCCCGCACAAGCGGUGGAGCAUGUGGUUUAAUUCGAUGCAACGCGAAGAACCUUACCAGGUCUUGACAUCCUCGGAAUUUGGCAGAGAUGCCUUAGUGCCUUCGGGAGCCGAGUGACAGGUGCUGCAUGGCCGUCGUCAGCUCGUGUCGUGAGAUGUUGGGUUAAGUCCCGUAACGAGCGCAACCCUUGUCCUUAGUUGCCAGCACGUAAUGGUGGGAACUCUAGGGAGACUGCCGGUGACAAACCGGAGGAAGGUGGGGACGACGUCAGGUCAUCAUGGCCCUUACGACCUGGGCUACACACGUGCUACAAUGGCUGGUACAGAGGGUUGCGAAGUCGCGAGGCGAAGCUAAUCCCUUAAAGCCAGUCGUAGUCCGGAUCGGAGUCUGCAACUCGACUCCGUGAAGUCGGAAUCGCUAGUAAUCG